UACGUAGGGGGCAAGCGUUAUCCGGAUUUACUGGGUGUAAAGGGAGCGUAGACGGUUAUGCAAGUCAGAAGUGAACGCCCAAAGCUCAACUUCGGGACUGCUUUUGAAACUGUGUAACUAGAGUGCAGGAGGGGUAAGCGGAAUUCCUAGUGUAGCGGUGAAAUGCGUAGAUAUUAGGAGGAACACCGGCGGCGAAGGCGGCUUACUGGACUGUAACUGACGUUGAGGCUCGAAAGCGUGGGGAGCAAACAGG
rnacentral:rRNA from 1 species